rnacentral:rRNA from 1 species
CUGGCGGCGUGCUUAACACAUGCAAGUCGAACGGACGGACUCGAUAGCUUGCUAUUGGGAAAGUUAGUGGCAAACGGGUGAGUAACGCGUAGGCAACCUGCCCUUCAGAUGGGGACAACACUUCGAAAGAGGUGCUAAUACCGAAUGACGUAUCCAUUCCGCAUGGAGAGGAUACCAAAGGCCGGGCAACCGGUCACUGAAGGAUGGGCCUGCGUCUGAUUAGCUAGUUGGUGGGGUAACGGCUCACCAAGGCGACGAUCAGUAGCCGGUCUGAGAGGAUGAACGGCCACAUUGGGACUGAGACACGGCCCAAACUCCUACGGGAGGCAGCAGUGGGAAUCUUCCGCAAUGGGCGCAAGCCUGACGGAGCAACGCCGCGUGAGUGAAGAAGGUUUUCGGAUCGUAAAGCUCUGUUGAGAGGGACGAGAGGCAAGGCUAGGAAAUGAGCUUUGUAGGACGGUACCUUUCGAGGAAGCCACGGCUAACUACGUG